rnacentral:tRNA from 1 species
AGAAAUUUAGGUUUAACCAAACCAAAAGCCUUCAAAGCUUUAAAUAAGAGUGAAAGCCUCUUAAUUUCUG